CAAUUUAUUUCUCUUCAACUCCCGAGCACAAAAUUGCCAUCGAUUUCUACAUUCAAUCAAUGUCUUCCUCCUCAAUUUUCCCUCUCCAGCCAACGAUUCUACUCUUGAGGCUUGAAUAAUGACUCUUCAAGACAUUUGUUCCUCCUCAAUCUUCCCUAUCCAGUCUCCAACCAAAUGAUUCCUCUUUUCAGUCGAUGAUUUCCUCCUCGAUUUUCCCUCUCUAGUGCCUGAUUUGGAGCCAGCCAUCUAUUUUCAAGAUUUUGAUCUCGAAUGAUGGAUUGAUUGAUGUAUAUGGACUAUGAAAGGAGAGACGGAUGUACAUCCAACCUUCACCAAGUUUCAUCUAUCUUUGGGUAAGUUUCAAACUUUUAGUUUCCCUGUGAAUUUAAUUAUCUAAAGAAAAUUAGGCUUCCCGCUUACAUGAAUCUGAAUCCGAUUUUAUUGUGUCUGUGAUAAUUAUUGUAGAUGGCAAUGACUUGAUAUGCUUUUGUUGAUAUGUUGUUGGUCUACGCCCUCCUAUGUCGACGGUGGUCUGCUUGCUGCUGCAUGAAUCGUUUGGCUUUAGUAUGAGUGUUUGAUGGAUUAUGAAUGAGUUUCAGUGUUGUAGAGAAUUUAUGGGUUGAAGUUUCUUCAAUUUUUUAGUCUUGCUUUUUAUUUAUUAAUUAAGCGGGUAAACCCCAAAAAAUCCAAUAUCUGACGGGGACGGGGCCGGUAGUAAUAUCAAACCCGUUUAUCCUCUGGGGCUGGGGGCAGAUAAACUCGACGACGUCGACGGGCGGGGAUCAGGGGUCUAUUAUCCUCACCCGUACACGUUUCCAAGCCUACACACGCCAAGUUCUGCAAACAGAAAAAACGCAGUAUAUUGGGUUUUUAACAGCGGAAUUUAUCCGUUGUUAAAUAUUCCGCUGUUAGGUUAUUUAACAACGGUUUAAAACCGCUGUUAACUUAUCGGAAUAUCAGUAGCAGCAGACCAAUUUCCUAAUUUGCUCUCUUUUCCUCUCUGCCAAACUAUUCCUCUUUCUCCUCUCUGUCGGUCAUCAGUCGUCGUUCAUCGGUUGUUGGUGCUCCUCCGUCAAACUCAUGCACUUGGAUUCCCUACUUAAUAAAGUAAGUUAGGUCAAAAUUAGGUUCGAUGUUAGAAAUUGAAGUUUUUUUUAUGUAGGUAAGAAAUUGGGUGUUUAAUUCAAUGUUAUGAGCACUAUAACUUUUAAGGUUUAGUGUUUAGUGUUGCGAUUAGGAAUUCUAAUAGAAAUUUAGGGAUUCAAUUUAGGGGUUAUUAAUUAGGGUUUGGGGUUCUCAGAAUUGCUAAUGAGUGAAAAUGAUGCAUUAUGCAGGAGUUAUUCUAAAAAUAUUGAGCACGCAUCGACUUCUAUUGCAUUGGAAGGAUCUAAUUCGAGGUUGCUAUAUGCUGAAAUUUGGGGCUUUGUUUUCUAUGUUCAGAUUUGGAAAUUCUUUUUCUAAAUUGUUUGUAUUUUGGUGAUUUUUUUUGUUUUAGCUUAUUUGAAAAGGAAGCUUGUCAAAUCCAUCCACCAAACUUCGAGUUUCUUCUACUUAGAGGUUGGUAGUCGAUUAUCUUAAAUCAUGUAUGGAAAUGUGGUAAUGUAGUAUGCUCAGAAAUAGGUUUGCUUUAAAAUCUAAUAAAGUGGUUUACUAAUUAACUUAUGUGUUAGGGUUGUGUAAUUAAUAUCUAAACUAGAAUUUGGUAGCUUGAUAAUGUAAUGUUCUUAGAAAUGAGUUUGCUUACAAAUAUAGUAGUAUGUGGUGUGCUUGAUUAGAAAUGUGAUUGCUUAAACCAGUCUAGUGAACAUAUGAUAAUUCAUAUUAGAUAUGUUUGUAGUUAGGGUGCAUAUUAGUUUGUUAUUUUUUUAGAUUGAAGAGUAUGAGUAUACAAGUAUAAAUGAAUAGGUCAUGUCGAAGUGUUCAAAAAUACCUUCAUACUCAUACUCUUUAAUUAAAUACAAUGAUAUGUCAUGUCUGAAUUUUCUAUAAAAUUAAUUAUCUUGUGUUCAUUUUAAGGUGUUUGGUUCGAGUUCAAGGAACACAUAAAGUCCUUUCCCUCCUAGAGUUCAAGUCGAGGACCUAGUAAUGUGACAAUUUGCAAAACUUAUGCCUUCAGAGUUUCAGAAGCAUACUGGUACUCUCUCUCCUAAAUUGCGGGUGAUGGCUAGUCUUGAAAAGUUUUGGGCAUGUAACGG
rnacentral:lncRNA from 1 species